UUUAUGAUUUGAUCUGAUUUGAUUUGGUUUGAUUUGAUUUUUGUAAUUUCAGGCAACUGCUCAGCGUUCAUCACCACCGGCCUCUCCACCCAUUUCAAUCACGAGCCUCCGGAAGAGACGGACGGCCCACCUUGAGCUAUCGCGCUGGCCACCUUCCUGCAGGCCUGGAGAAGGAGGUCUCCAUGAUAGUUGACCAGAGGGCCUUGAACUUGCACCGGAAGCUUGUUGAAGAUGCUGUUGAGCAAGAUUCGACCGCCUGGUGGCCGUAGAGCACGUGGGCAGAGCUGCCGGCGCAGGUACUGCAACGCCAGGAGGGUGAACAUCAAGCACUGAGUGGACCCCGUGGACGAUCUUUUUCUUGCCACGAAGAAGAUUCCUGGAAUCUCAACGGGUGCUGCCCGCCCCAGAGACGCGCCAGCUCUGUGCCAUGAGGACAACAAUACCAUGGACAGGAUGGAUGUGAGGCACAAACGAGAUGAAAUUCACAAAAUGCUAAAAAAAAAAAAAGAUAUAGACAAAAUACCAAUGUUAGGCAGUGGCAUUAUUUUCCUUCAUUCAAUGGCCUGUCAAUAGAGCUAGAAAGCUGUUCUGGAAAAAUCAUCAGGUGAGAAUCUAAGGUGUUUGGUCAUUCACAAUUGUCUGAUUCUUUUGGCCAAAUCCAGUCCCUGAUGCUUAGGUGGGUCAGUUCUAUUUCCCCCUUCACCAGCCCAUGGUGAGUGCCAGCCUCGGAGUAAUCCUCCACAGAGUCCAAGCCUUGAUAGAGGCAGACACAAAAGCUACAAGGCCCAUGCAAACAUCUCUCAGGGCCUGGUUUUUUAAUUGAAGAGAUGAUGUAGCAGCAAUACUAUAGACAUUAUUAUAAGGCAGGUAGUGAAGGGUGAUGGA